UUUAAUGCCUCACAAUAGUUUUUGCAUGGCCAGUUAACCCUGAAAGAAGAAAGUCUGUGAUAUUACACUUAAUAUGUAAAAGAGGCUCAAACACAAAAUUAAAUUCAAAAUAAAACUAAUGCUCAUGUAGCAUAUUUUGUAUUUAAAACACAAGACAGUACCGUCAAAUGUUAUAUAUCAGUUAGCUAAGUAGGAAUCUCUCAUUGGACCGUGCCUCUAAAUUAUACCGUCGAGGCAUGAAACUAAGUAUUUUUGGUCAGGAAAACAAAGAUGCCCGCUUCCGCACCAUGAAUCGCAGAAUUUUCAUAUAGUUGUACUCACAAAGCUAUUUAAACAUAAAAGGAAACAAUAGAACCUUGUAUAUUUGUACAACCUAUCAAGAACAAAGUUGUGAAUUAAUCUCUUUGUAUUGAUGCCCUCAUCACCUAGCCCACUAUCACUGAUGCCUUCUCUUCCGGCACCAUAAGUAGUGUGAUCAUUUUAGAAAUAUGACCAGUUAUAUUCUACUUGUAUCUAUCUCUAUCUUGCGGUUCCACUGCUCACUAUCGUGGUUGGACUGCUCAUGUCGGAUUAGAGUUAUGGUGCCCUACGAAACAUGAGCAAAGUUUGAACAAUCCAAUGGUUAUAUUCUACUUAAGCUGGGACCA
rnacentral:lncRNA from 1 species